rnacentral:lncRNA from 1 species
UGUCGGGUGAGGGUAUGGGCGGGGAUCUUUGACCUGCCGGUCCACUCCCCGGGUGCCCACCACAGCUGGGGCUCGGCCACGCACAGCCCUCGCCUGCUGCCUGCCAGCCGUCGGCAGGGAGCUGGCCGGGGAGCAGAGCAGCUGCGGCCCCACGAGGGCCCUGCGCAGGGGCGCCGGCGUCCCCAGGGAGCGCCUGGCCUGCCGCUGCCUUCGCCGCGUGCCCCUGGCCUCCGGGAACUGGACUCUCAGAAUUCUAAACCUCUCGGCCGGAAGCCUGCACGAGGGGCUGCUGGACCCCAGCUCAGUACACAGAACAGCUCCGCAGAAAGGAAUGCUAGCGGGAGAAGCAGCCACGUGGCGGGGAGACACGUGAGCACCCGUGACGCCCGUGUGGCUCCUCUGGUCUGCAAAGCCUGCGGGGCCAGCCGGAACCCCCGCCUCGGCAGUUCUGGUGGGCAGAAAGCGACACGCGCGGCUCUAUGGGGCAACUCAGCUACCUGUCGCAACUCCACUGAGCACCUGUUAGCACCUGUGGCAGGUGCCCUCCGGCCCCCGUCCACACGUGGCAGGGACUGGCUGCUCAGCUCACAGCCGCGAGCUUCGGCACCUCCUGGCCCCUCCUCCUCCACACAGAGGGAGCUGUCUGCGCCAGGUGAGGCUGAGACCUCCUGGCCGAGCCCCUGCCUAUGCUGCCCCCACCCAAGGCUUCCCCCCACAGCGGCCCCCCAGCGCAGAACCCCGGCCUCGGCUCUGCUUCCUGGGAACCUGACCUUGGAGGACGGCUGUGAGGAGCCAGCAGAGGGCGCAGCUGAGCUUGGAGGCGUGGAGAGAGCCGCCCAGGCUGCAGGCACGUGGCAGGGCAGCUCUGGGGCUCUGGGCUCUGCCCUGGCACGGCCUCACGCGCUCCCGGAGUCGCACGUGAGCAGUGCCCACGGGGCUGCGGCUGCUCCUCCCUGGGGACUGCACCUGCCAGCUGCUCCUGCCUGGGCCCCCGGCCUCGGGGAGCGACACGGGCCAGAGCCAGGAGGUCCAGGUUCUUCUGAGAGCCUGCCACCUGCUGUUGGUAUUGGCCGGGUCUCGAACAAGACAGUGAGAGACCAGAGGGGUGCCCGCAGGGUCCCCUGUCUCCAGGCCUCUCACCCUGAACUAGACCUGCCCUCGGCAGCACCCAGCCCCCGGGUUCGAGUCCCGCCUCUGCUCCUAAGUCCAGCUCCCUGCUAG